UUCCGUAGGUGAACCUGCGGAAGGAUCAUUAGUGAUUUAAUUUGUUUUUCACGAGUGAAUGGUGGCGUUACGCCUUUUAAACAUCUAGUUAUGAACGUCUUAUUGUAACAAUCAAGAACUUUCAACAACGGAUCUCUUGGCUCUCGCAUCGAUGAAGAACGCAGCUAAAUGCGAUAAGUAAUGUGAAUUGCAGACUUGAGUGAAUCAUCGAAUCUUUGAACGCAUCUUGCGCCCUUUGGUAUUCCGAAGGGCAUGCCUGUUUGAGUGUCGUAAAGACUCAUCGAUGAGGAAGCUCAUUGAAUGGAUUUGGGUGGUGCCCGUGGCUCGCCUGAAAAGCGUGGGUGUUGGUUGACGCUGUCUGGAUGAUAAGUAUCGCUAGGCAGUGAGAUUGGCACUUGAAUUUAUUUUGUUUUUGACCUCUAAAUCAGGUAGA
rnacentral:rRNA from 1 species